rnacentral:rRNA from 1 species
GAUGAACGCUGGCGGCGUGCCUAAUACAUGCAAGUCGAGCGAACGGACGAGAAGCUUGCUUCUCUGAUGUUAGCGGCGGACGGGUGAGUAACACGUGGAUAACCUACCUAUAAGACUGGGAUAACUUCGGGAAACCGGAUCUAAUACCGGAUAAUAUUUUGAACCGCAUGGUUCAAAAGUGAAAGACGGUCUUGCUGUCACUUAUAGAUGGAUCCGCGCUGCAUUAGCUAGUUGGUAAGGUAACGGCUUACCAAGGCAACGAUGCAUAGCCGACCUGAGAGGGUGAUCGGCCACACUGGAACUGAGACACGGCCCAGACUCCUACGGGAGGCAGCAGUAGGGAAUCUUCCGCAAAGGGCGAAAGCCUGACGGAGCAACGCCGCGUGAGUGAUGAAGGUCUUCGGAUCGUAAAACUCUGUUAUUAGGGAAGAACAUAUGUGUAAGUAACUGUGCACAUCUUGACGGUACCUAAUCAGAAAGCCACGGCUAACUACGUG